rnacentral:rRNA from 1 species
GAUGAACGCUGGCGGCGUGCCUAAUGCAUGCAAGUCGAGCGAACGGACGAGGAGCUUGCUUCUCUGAUGUUAGCGGCGGACGGGUGAGUAACACGUGGAUAACCUACCUAUAAGACUGGGAUAACUUCGGGAAACCGGAGCUAAUACCGGAUGAUAUUUUGAACCGCAUGGUUCAAAAGUGAAAGACGGUCUUGCUGACACUUAUAGAUGGAUCCGCGCUGCAUUAGCUAGUUGGUAAGGUAACGGCUUACCAAGGCAACGAUGCAUAGCCGACCUGAGAGGGUGAUCGGCCACACUGGAACUGAGACACGGUCCAGACUCCUACGGGAGGCAGCAGUAGGGAAUCUUCCGCAAUGGGCGAAAGCCUGACGGAGCAACGCCGCGUGAGUGAUGAAGGUCUUCGGAUCGUAAAACUCUGUUAUUAGGGAAGAACAUAUGUGUAAGUAACUGUGCACAUCUUGACGGUACCUAAUCAGAAAGCCACGGCUAACUACGUG